AAAGACUCAAUUUCUAGGUUUCCGUGUCCAACGUUUGACUGUCCGUCUUAUUUAAAAAAAUUAUGAAAAAAUUUAAAAAUAUAAGUCACACAUAAAGUAUUAAUCAUGUUUUAUCAUCUAACAACAAUAAAAAUACUAAUCAUAAAAAAAUUUCAUAUAAGACGGACAGUCAAACGUUGUACACAAAAACCCAGGAUUGAGUCUUUG
rfam:Oryza glumipatula chromosome 1, whole genome shotgun sequence.